rnacentral:rRNA from 1 species
AAUUCCACGUGUAGCAGUGAAUGCGUAGAGAUGUGGAGGAACACCGAUGGCGAAGGCAGCCCCCUGGGAUAAUACUGACGCUCAGGCACGAAAGCGUGGGUAGCAAACAGGAUUAGAUAGCCUGGUAGUCCACGCCCUAAACGAUGUCAACUAGCUGUUGGGUUCUUCGGAGCUUAGUAGCGACACUCUAAUAGCCUCAAGCUAGACGCGUGUAGGGUAGAUACGGCUGGGGAGUACGGUCCCAAGAUUUAGACUCAGAAGGCAAUUGACGGGGACCCGCACAAGCGGUGGAUGAUGUGGAUUAAUUCGAUGCAACGCGAAAAACCUUACCUACCCUUGACAUGUCUGGAAUCCCGAAGAGAUUUGGGAGUGCUCGCAAGAGAACCGGAACACAGGUGCUGCAUGGCUGUCGUCAGCUCGUGUCGUGAGAUGUUGGGUUAAGUCCCGCAACGAGCGGCAACCCUUGUCAUUAGUUGCUACGAAAGGGCACUCUAAUGAGACUGC